GAUGUCAGAGUGGACAACUUUUAACAUCGCUUUAAAAUCAGCAGAAAUAUUGAGCGACGGAAGUGUCAAUGCUUGCACCAACUUCGCACUCAAAUGCUCAAGUUUAUCCUUAUAUUUGGCAGCACUAGCCUGAUCGAUGUCCAUGUCCAUAAAGAUACAUACUCAAAUAUCGACUGCUUGAGGAACUUCAUAUCUUCCUCUGAAGAAGCAAAAGGACGACCGUUUGA
rnacentral:lncRNA from 1 species